AAAAUAAAUCCACUGAGUAAAUCUAACAUCCCGAUUCUCGAGCUGCAACACACAGACACGUACGGAGUUUGCGUCAAAGGACUUGGAAAUUAAUACAUCAUCAUUCGACGUAGCUACCUCGUAUCUGCCCCUCCUGUUUGUUGUGAUGCUGAGUUUGCCGACUGUCAGCUGUACGUUAACACAUGGACAAAUCCCUUUUCGACUCCGUGUGUUGUGGAAAGUGAGCUGAGCAGAUCAUUGCAGAUGUGUUCCAGGAUCCAACGCUACCUCAGACAGAAAAUCACCCCUGCCCAAAUGCGGCCACACGGUGGCAGUGUUUUUCCAGUCACACAGUAUGAAGGCUGAGGAUGUUAUGAGGCUGUACUAUGUCUGCACAGCCCCUCACUGUGGACACCGCUGGACAGAGUGAGGAGGAUGAAGAGGAGGUCUGAUGUAUGCAUCCACAGUCUCUGCUGUUGCCCAACAGUCCACCAUGUCUCACUGGGGUUCACUGUUGCUGAAAACAGAAAGACUGGUGGUUGUGUGGGCCUAAAAUACUCUGCCAAAUCAGAAACUUUUACAGGAAUAAUAACUUUGUGUGUUAGAUCUUCAUCAUCUUGUUGGAGUGUACGUACAGGAACUGCUAAGAUUUGUAUGGACCAUUUAAAUGCCAUUUCUUACCAUGUUGUGGAGGAACACCUGUUGGGACAUAAUUGUGUUAAUGUAUUAGCUCUAGUACUUUUUACAUGUAUUUGAAAUUAAAUAAGACAAACUUU